AACAUAAUUCAAUUAACUGUACCCUAGCCUCCUCUCUCCUUUUAACAUUCUCUCUUUGCCUUUUUGAUUUAGAUCCAAGCAAAAGGAAAUAUGUCUUCGGCGCCGUCGUCUCCUGGGACUGAUUAGCCACCAUCUCCACCAUCAAACUCCACAACCACCACACCCUCUUCUUCUCCUCCGCCGCCACCCACUAUUCCCACGUUUCCUCCUCUGUCUUCUUCCUCUACACCUUAUGCUCUUCAUCCAUCUCCACCCACUCUAUCUACGCCGGGAUUUUCACCUCCUCUUCCUCAGCCGUCUCCACCCUCUCCAACUACACCGGAAUCUCCUCCUGCACCUAUCACUCCUCCUGGAUCCCCUAUUCUAAACUCCAUCAUCCUCAGGACCACCGUUGCGGCAGAGGACUUCCUCGAACUCCAUCUUUGCCGUCUCCGCCGUCUUCUUCUUCCGAUGGAUUAUCAGCAAGAGUGGUGAUCGGAAUCGCCAUCCGAAGAGUCGCUCUGCUUGUAAGAAGAAACGAAGAAGAGACGAAGAAGAUACUUACUACGUUCCUCUUCCACCUCCUCCGGAUCCCAAAGCCGGAGGACCUUACAGUGGACAACAGCAACAAUGGCGGCAACAAAACGCAACACCACCGUCAGUUCAUGUCGUGACGUCACUACCACUUCCACACAUCAUAUCAUGUUCUAUAUUGGUACGGGCUUGAUAAUGCAAAAAACUCAGACAAAAUAAGAAGACAGCCCAUCAGAUUGGGGG